AUCUCUCUCUCCUCUCUCUUUCUCUCUCUCAACAAAAUAAAACAGAGCUGCCUCUCUCUCUGUGUUUUGUCGUAAAAAAUCUGAGACAUAGAGAGAGAAACUGUCUCAGACUCUCAGAGGUUUAGAGAGAGAGAGAGAGAGACUCUCGAAGCUCCCAACUCACUGCUUGAUUCCUCCAUUUGUGCAUUGCCCCAUUUGCCACUUCAUCUCUCAGGGGAAGAGAGAGAAAGUCUGACAGAGAGAGAAGCCCCGCUGGUUUUCUUUUGCUGCAUUGUUCUGAAUCUGUUUGAUGAAGAAAAAAGCUUGAAGAAGUGUUGAAUGGAGUAGAAAUGGAGGAGGGUGGAUCAGCAGGAAACUAUCUGAGGAGUGGACUCAAAGUCAAGGUUGAUUCAUGGUUCAGCCAAUUUCGCAAUGGUUCGAAUCCAUGGAUGGCCAGAUAUGUCUACGGAUUCAUGUUUUUGAUAGCAAAUCUUAUGGCAUGGGGUGUCCGGGAUUACGGAAGAAAUGUGUUGACGGAGAUGGAGAGAUUAAAAGGAUGUCAUGGUGUGAAGGAUUGUUUGGGUGCAGAAGGAGUCCUACGUGUAAGCUUGGGUUGCUUUUUGUUUUAUAUCACAAUGUUUCUUUCCACUGCUGGCACAUCGAAGUUGAAUGAACCCAGAGAUUCGUGGCAAUCCGGAUGGUGGUCUGCCAAGAUUGUCAUGUGGAUUUCCUUCAUCAUCAUUCCCUUUCUGCUUCCUGCCACAAUCAUUCAGCUAUAUGGAGAGAUUGCGCAUUUUGGUGCCGGGGUUUUUCUCUUGAUUCAGCUAAUAAGCAUAAUCAGUUUCAUUACGUGGCUGAACGAUUGUUGUCAGUCUACCAAAUCAGAAAGAUGCCGGAUUCAUGUGAUGUUACUUGCAACUGCUGCAUAUGUUGUAUGCUUAGUGGGGAUCAUAUUGAUGUACAUAUGGUAUGCACCGGAACCAACUUGCCUCCUCAACAUCUUUUUCAUAACCUGGACAUUAGUACUCCUACAACUCAUGACCAGUGUCUCUCUCCACCCGAAAGUGAAUGCUGGCAUCUUGACUCCGGGUCUCAUGGGCCUUUAUAUAGUAUUCAUCUGCUGGUUUGCUAUUAGAAGUGAGCCAGCGGGGACAAGCUGCAACAAGAAAGAAGGCAGAGAUGAUUCAACCAAAAACAGAUUGGCUCACCAUCAUAAGCUUUGUUAUAGCCGUGCUUGCAAUGGUUAUCGCAACAUUCUCAACCGGCAUAGAUUCCAAAUGCUUUCAGUUCAGGAAGGACGAGACUGAAUCCGAGGAUGAUGUUCCAUAUGGUUAUGGAUUCUUCCACUUUGUUUUUGCCACGGGAGCAAUGUACUUUGGAAUGCUGCUGAUUGGUUGGAAUACUCAUCAAUCCAUGAGAAGGUUUACGAUUGAUGUGGGAUGGGCCAGCACUUGGGUGAGGAUUGUGAACGAGUGGAUCGCGGUCUGCGUGUAUUUAUGGAUGCUAGUUGCUCCAAUCAUAUGGGAAAGCAUAUAAACGGUGCAAUCCGCUUAAGUUUAUGUUUACAUCUUGCCACAUUCAUCCGUUGUACAUAUGGGAGUGUCCAAGCCUCGCCCUCGAGGAUCAAAACUCUUUGCAUACUCCGAGAAGAGCCUCCUCAGGCCUCCAUGGGCAGCAGCGCUGCUGGCACUUAACACCGGUGAACUGACUGCAACUUCCGGUUCGUAAUGUGUGAAGAUUAAGGAGGGAAAGAAAAAUACACACCAGUUAAGCAUUUUAAGUCUUCCUAUCCAGUACCAUAGAGUGUUGUGAAUUCAUAACACUUUCUUCUCCAUAUGUAAUCAUUGUAGUGUGAGCAAAUGUGGUUUAGAAGAAUCUUAGCAUGUCAUUAUUUGUUAUAUUAUUGAAAUAGCAAAUAUAUUGUGGGUCCUUGGAAGUGUUUC